AUCAACAGUGACCCAUCUGCCGGGAAGCUAGAGUAGGAGCUGCACCCUACUCAGUGACCACUUCUGUUGAGAGGAGUGCUAAGCAGACAGGAUCUAGGGUACUCCCAGAAAGGAUGGCUGUUGUGAGAAAAAUGUAUUUUUCCAGGUUUUUUUAAUAUAUAAUAAAGGUGUUGGACUAUGACCUAGGAGACCGGGGUUCGAAUCCCCACACAGCCAUGAAGCUCACUGGGUGACCUUGGGCCAGUCACUGCCUCUCAGCCUCAGAGGAAGGCAAUGGUAAACCCCCUCUGAAUACCACUUACCAUGAAAACCCUAUUCAUAGGGUUGCCAUAAGUCAGAAUUGACUUGAAGGCAGUCCAUUUCAUUUCAAAUGACUGAAAGUGGCUUGGACAAUGGCAUUUCUUUUAACGCAUGGUUGCUGCUAUUACACUAAAGAGGCAGCAUGGCGCCUGAGGUUAGUGGUGUGUGUGUGUCCGAGAGUAAAAUAAAUAAUUUAGAAGUUGCAAUGUAGUUAACAAAAACACUAGAUCUGGGUUUUUAUAAUGGGCUUUAUUGCUCAAAAGGGAUUAUGUUUGCUUUUGGAGAAACUGAAGUUGCUCUCAACUGUCCUCUUGGGUACCUGUUUGAUCUGUCAUGUUCAAUGUGUAUAUUUGUAAAUAAAGAGAUAUUACAGCAAUGCAAUACUCCUCUGCUGCUCUCUCAUCACAAAGAAACUGAUGCUGUAAAACAUUUGUAACCCGUAGCCCAGGCUUCUCCAUUUGGCCCAUCAGUCUAUUUUGAGGAAGCCAUGCCCACUGACCUUACCACUCAUGUCAUACAUUAAAGUGGGCUCCCUAUUGUUCCUUUGAUGAAGAAAGGUAUGCUCCCAACUGCUGAUGGGCAAAAGGAGUGUGCCUUGCUCAAGAAGGGGAACCACAUCUGUCCAGUGGAAAUUGCUUCUCCUUCCCAGUGCUACUCUUUGAA